AGUUAGCUUUUUAAUUGGGAGAUAGAAUGAAUGGUUACACUAAAAAUAAUAUCCAAAAUUUAAGUUUGAAUUUUUAAGUUUAGUGAAAAUACUGAAAAGUUUUUAUUAGACAAAAAGACCCUAUGAAGCUAUUAAAAUUUAAAUAAAAUAGCAUAAGAUAAAAUUUUAAUUUUUUGGGGAAAAAUUUAAAAAUUUUAUUAUUACUACUUAAACUUAACUAGAGCCUUUAGGAAUUGUGAAAAAGCUCCUCUAGGGAUAACAGCAUAAUAUUUAAAAAAGUUCUUAUUAGAAUAAAUGU
rnacentral:rRNA from 1 species